GAUGAACGCUGGCGGCGUGCCUAAUACAUGCAAGUCGAGCGAACGGACGAGAAGCUUGCUUCUCUGAUGUUAGCGGCGGACGGGUGAGUAACACGUGGAUAACCUACCUAUAAGACUGGGAUAACUUCGGGAAACCGGAGCUAAUACCGGAUGAUAUUUUGAACCGCAUGGUUCAAAAGUGAAAGACGGUCUUGCUGUCACUUAUAGAUGGAUCCGCGCUGCAUUAGCUAGUUGGUAAGGUAACGGCUUACCAAGGCAACGAUGCAUAGCCGACCUGAGAGGGUGAUCGGCCACACUGGAACUGAGACACGGUCCAGACUCCUACGGGAGGCAGCAGUAGGGAAUCUUCCGCAAUGGGCGAAAGCCUGACGGAGCAACGCCGCGUGAGUGAUGAAGGUCUUCGGAUCGUAAAACUCUGUUAUUAGGGAAGAACAUAUGUGUAAGUAACUGUGCACAUCUUGACGGUACCUAAUCAGAAAGCCACGGCUAACUACGUGCCAGCAGCCGCGGUAAUACGUAGGUGGCAAGCGUUAUCCGGAAUUAUUGGGCGUAAAGCGCGCGUAGGCGGUUUUUUAAGUCUGAUGUGAAAGCCCACGGCUCAACCGUGGAGGGUCAUUGGAAACUGGAAAACUUGAGUGCAGAAGAGGAAAGUGGAAUUCCAUGUGUAGCGGUGAAAUGCGCAGAGAUAUGGAGGGACACCAGUGGCGAAGGCGACUUUCUGGUCUGUAACUGACGCUGAUGUGCGAAAGCGUGGGGAUCAAACAGGAUUAGAUACCCUGGUAGUCCACGCCGUAAACGAUGAGUGCUAAGUGUUAGGGGGUUUCCGCCCCUUAGUGCUGCAGCUAACGCAUUAAGCACUCCGCCUGGGGAGUACGACCGCAAGGUUGAAACUCAAAGGAAUUGACGGGGACCCGCACAAGCGGUGGAGCAUGUGGUUUAAUUCGAAGCAACGCGAAGAACCUUACCAAAUCUUGACAUCCUUUGACAACUCUAGAGAUAGAGCCUUCCCCUUCGGGGGACAAAGUGACAGGUGGUGCAUGGUUGUCGUCAGCUCGUGUCGUGAGAUGUUGGGUUAAGUCCCGCAACGAGCGCAACCCUUAAGCUUAGUUGCCAUCAUUAAGUUGGGCACUCUAAGUUGACUGCCGGUGACAAACCGGAGGAAGGUGGGGAUGACGUCAAAUCAUCAUGCCCCUUAUGAUUUGGGCUACACACGUGCUACAAUGGACAAUACAAAGGGCAGCGAAACCGCGAGGUCAAGCAAAUCCCAUAAAGUUGUUCUCAGUUCGGAUUGUAGUCUGCAACUCGACUCCAUGAAGCUGGAAUCGCUAGUAAUCGUAGAUCAGCAUGCUACGGUGAAUACGUUCCCGGGUCU
rnacentral:rRNA from 1 species